rnacentral:rRNA from 1 species
UACGGAGGAUGCAAGCGUUAUCCGGAUUUAUUGGGUUUAAAGGGUGCGUAGGCGGGAAAAUAAGUCAGUGGUGAAAUCCUGCAGCUUAACUGUAGAAUUGCCGUUGAUACUGUUUUUCUUGAGUAUGGUCAAGGAAGGCGGAAUGUGUAAUGUAGCGGUGAAAUGCUUAGAUAUUACACAGAACACCAAUUGCGAAGGCAGCUUUCUGGCCCAUUACUGACGCUGAGGCACGAAAGCGUGGGGAUCGAACAGG